rnacentral:pre_miRNA from 1 species
GAUCAAUCUAGCUAGCACUAACUCCUACAGUAAUUAAUCGUCUUAUUUAAAAUUUUUUUGCGAUUAAUAUUUUUAUUAUUACUAGAUGAUAAAAUAUAAAUAGUAUUUUAUACGUCACUAAUUUUUUUAAGUUUUUGAACAAAUUUUUCAAAUAAAACGAAUGGUCAAAACGUUGGACACAGAAAAAC